AUAUCAACAACACCUUUGGAAAGGUUCCCAACAUGUUUCAUGGAUUUAUGUAUUAAAUCGUUCUAUCAUAUGUUGUCCUGGUUUAAUGGGAUAUUGACUGAAUGGAAACAAGUAGUGAGUGUUCCCAUCAUCGGGGCCUAAAAUGUUGAAAUAAGAAAUGCUGUUUUGAAAGAUGGACGCGGAUCAGAAGAUAAAACCUACACGUAGGAGCGUAGGAAAGAACAACGCUGGCGUUGAUAUAUGGUUAAACAAAUCUUUAAAUCAAAAUGAUAUAAAGGAAACACGUCAGGAAAAGACGCAAACGUUUGUUAGAAGUGGGCAUGAGAAACUGAACAACCUUAUACGUGGAAUAAUCGUAUCGAAGUCAGAUGACCCAGAUGAACUAAAAAAAGUUCCUUGUAUCCGAGUGCCCGCCGACAUAGACAGGGUAGUGUUAUAUAAGGAGUUGCUGAAGUGGGCCCCGGAUGAGAAACCACCAAAGGCAGUACUUUCUCUGACAGGAGGAUCGACACAUUUCUUAAAUAAUGAAACACUUGUCAGUCGAUUAAAAAGUGGUUUACUCAAUCUUAUAACCAC